UGGAUAGCUCCAGAGUUUUAAAUGGCUGCAGUACUUGCUACUAAAAAGGAAAGUCACCAUCCUUCAAAUAAUACUCUAGAUGGUACAUGAAAAAUAAAUACCAUGCCCUGUCUGUUCUUGCAACUAAUAUAUAGGAAGUUCAUCAUUUUCUUCAGCCUUUUUUAAUUCCGUUAAAAAUAUGAAAGUAGCAAACACUUAAUUUUAUUAAGCUUGAAAGGCAUAGCAAAUAAACACAGAUAGUACACACAUCUAUGUUUUGUCAAGCAAUUCUAAAACAGAAAUCAGUCCCAUCUUUAUGUUAAGAUGACCCAAAUGAUGAAAGGGCUUAUAGAUGUUUUCUAUAUCAUAUUCCAUUAAGUCCCAAUGGCUGAAUUUAAUUACCUGGGCUAGUUGGAGUACUAACCCUGAUUGCAGGUUGAUGUAUUCUCAUUAGGCAUUGUCAUGUGGGAGAUUCUCAGAGGGAGAGAAACAGUCAGUGUUUUCAGAACAAUUCAGGGUCCAAAGAGGCAGUGAUUAGCAAGGCUUUGAUAAUAAAACUCACAAGGAGCAAUGUUGGGCCCCAGAUCCCAUGGCUUAGCCGUCGUUCCCAGAGUUGUUCAGCUGUUUACGUCUACGGCCACCCAAAGCAAAGCACAAAAUCAGGGAACCAAAUUAUACGUGCGGGCUUUACUGGCUUCUGAUUCUAUCUUUUACAUGUGAUUUAUUUAUUUUCCAAACGCAUGCUAUGAAGAUGUGUGCCUGUAGUCGAAGAUUUUCUCCAUUUGAAAGGAGGGUUUCCUCCUGCAUAGGAAAGAAUAGUAUAAAUAUGCUUGGGUUUCUGAUAAUUACAGUUCCAAAAUGUUUUUUUUUUUCUCCAACAUCAUGGAAUUGAUUGUUGUGUAUAACUCUCACCAAUCAAUGGAUAUACAAACUGGGAUUUCAGUA